rnacentral:misc_RNA from 1 species
UAAAUUACAGGACCAUUGAUGGUUGACCAUCGAAAUCGGGAAAGCUUCAUCCAGUUCCCAAAACGGUGUCGCAGAAGAACAUGCGCGUGGGCAUGGUUGCAGAUGACGGAGCUGAUCAUGGCAAUGGUUGCUUCGAUGAGGAAUGGCCGACGGAGUUAGACAAUGAGCUUAUAGACGAGAAGGAAAGUUACGAGAUUGAGGAGGAAGACGAAGAUGGGGAAGCAGAAGAAGCAGACAGUUUCUCCGCCGAUUUCUAUCGCUGUGGAACCGAUUGGUCCUGCUUGUUGCCGGGUCAUGGAGAUGCUAAGAGGAAGCUCAAACAAGCCAAUCUGUUGGAAAUGUGGGGAUUGAAUGAGCCCAAGCCCCAACUUUUAUCUCCGCCUCCACCCAAGAGAUUGAAGACUGUGUCUGCAAUGAACCCUAGAGAAUUAAUUUCCCCAAAUUUUGGCAAAUC